CAGCCGCCGCGGUAAUACGGAGGGUGCAAGCGUUACUCGGAAUCACUGGGCGUAAAGCGCGCGCAGGCGGCCAUUUAAGUUGGAUGUGAAAGCCUUCGGCUCAACCGUAGAACUGCAUCCAAAACUAUUUGGCUAGAGUGUGGGAGAGGAAGAUGGAAUUAGUUGUGUAGGGGUAAAAUCCGUAGAGAUAACUAGGAAUACCAAAAGCGAAGGCAAUCUUCUGGAACAUUACUGACGCUGAGGCGCGAAAGCGUGGGGAGCAAACAGGAUUAGAUACCCUGGUAGUCCACGCCCUAAACGAUGAAUGUUAGUCGUCGGGUAGCUAGUCUAUUCGGUGAUGCAGCUAACGCAUUAAACAUUCCGCCUGGGGAGUACGGUCGCAAGAUUAAAACUCAAAGGAAUAGACGGGGACCCGCACAAGUGGUGGAGCAUGUGGUUUAAUUCGAAGAUACGCGAAGAACCUUACCUAGCCUUGACAUAUUUUAGAACUCCGCAGUGAUGUAGAGGUGCCUUCGGGAGCUAAUUUACAGGUGCUGCACGGCUGUCGUCAGCUCGUGUCGUGAGAUGUUGGGUUAAGUCCCGCAACGAGCGCAACCCUCGUCACUAGUUACUAACGGUUCGGCCGAGGACUCUAGUGAGACUGCCUUCGUAAGGAGGAGGAAGGUGAGGACGACGUCAAGUCAUCAUGGCCCUUACGGCUAGGGCAACACACGUGCUACAAUGGCCAGGACAGUGAGACGCGAUACCGCGAGGUGGAGCAAAUCUAUAAACCUGGUCUCAGUUCGGAUUGUAGUCUGCAACUCGACUACAUGAAGCUGGAAUCACUAGUAAUCGUAGAUCAGCUAUGCUACGGUGAAUACGUUCCCGGGUCUUGUACUCACCGCCCGUCACACCAUGGGAGUUGAUUUCACCCGAAGCGGGGAAGCUAAACUGGCUACCCUCCACGGUGGAAUUAGCGACUGGGGUGAAGUCGUAACAAGGUAACCGUA
rnacentral:rRNA from 1 species